UACGUAGGGGGCUAGCGUUGUCCGGAAUCAUUGGGCGUAAAGAGCGUGUAGGCGGCCCGGUAAGUCCGCUGUGAAAGUCGGGGGCUCAACCCUCGAAUGCCGGUGGAUACUGUCGGGCUAGAGUGCGGAAGAGGCGAGUGGAAUUCCUGGUGUAGCGGUGAAAUGCGCAGAUAUCAGGAGGAACACCAAUUGCGAAGGCAGCUCCCUGGGACGGUACUGACGCUGAGACGCGAAAGCGUGGGGAGCGAACAGG
rnacentral:rRNA from 1 species